rnacentral:tRNA from 1 species
GCGCCCGUAGCUCAGCUGGAUAGAGCAUCUCCCUUCUAAGGAGAGGGCCAGAGGUUCGAGUCCUCUCGGGCGUA